GACGAACGCUGGCGGCGUGCUUAACACAUGCAAGUCGAACGGAAAGGCCCUGCUUUUGUGGGGUGCUCGAGUGGCGAACGGGUGAGUAACACGUGAGUAACCUGCCCUUGACUUUGGGAUAACUUCAGGAAACUGGGGCUAAUACCGGAUAGGAGCUCCUGCUGCAUGGUGGGGGUUGGAAAGUUUCGGCGGUUGGGGAUGGACUCGCGGCUUAUCAGCUUGUUGGUGGGGUAGUGGCUUACCAAGGCUUUGACGGGUAGCCGGCCUGAGAGGGUGACCGGCCACAUUGGGACUGAGAUACGGCCCAGACUCCUACGGGAGGCAGCAGUGGGGAAUAUUGCACAAUGGGCGGAAGCCUGAUGCAGCAACGCCGCGUGCGGGAUGACGGCCUUCGGGUUGUAAACCGCUUUCGCCUGUGACGAAGCGUGAGUGACGGUAAUGGGUAAAGAAGCACCGGCUAACUACGUGCCAGCAGCCGCGGUGAUACGUAGGGUGCGAGCGUUGUCCGGAUUUAUUGGGCGUAAAGGGCUCGUAGGUGGUUGAUCGCGUCGGAAGUGUAAUCUUGGGGCUUAACCCUGAGCGUGCUUUCGAUACGGGUUGACUUGAGGAAGGUAGGGGAGAAUGGAAUUCCUGGUGGAGCGGUGGAAUGCGCAGAUAUCAGGAGGAACACCAGUGGCGAAGGCGGUCCUCUGGGCCUUUCCUGACGCUGAGGAGCGAAAGCGUGGGGAGCGAACAGGCUUAGAUACCCUGGUAGUCCACGCUGUAAACGGUGGGUACUAGGUGUGGGGUCCAUUCCACGGGUUCCGUGCCGUAGCUAACGCUUUAAGUACCCCGCCUGGGGAGUACGGCCGCAAGGCUAAAACUCAAAGGAAUUGACGGGGCCCCGCACAAGCGGCGGAGCAUGCGGAUUAAUUCGAUGCAACGCGUAGAACCUUACCUGGGUUUGACAUGGAUCGGGAGCGCUCAGAGAUGGGUGUGCCUCUUUUGGGGUCGGUUCACAGGUGGUGCAUGGCUGUCGUCAGCUCGUGUCGUGAGAUGUUGGGUUGAGUCCCGCAACGAGCGCAACCCUUGUUCACUGUUGCCAGCACGUUAUGGUGGGGACUCAGUGGAGACCGCCGGGGUCAACUCGGAGGAAGGUGGGGAUGACGUCAAGUCAUCAUGCCCCUUAUGUCCAGGGCUUCACGCAUGCUACAAUGGCUGGUACAGAGAGUGGCGAGCCUGUGAGGGUGAGCGAAUCUCGGAAAGCCGGUCUCAGUUCGGAUUGGGGUCUGCAACUCGACCUCAUGAAGUCGGAGUCGCUAGUAAUCGCAGAUCAGCAACGCUGCGGUGAAUACGUUCCCGGGGCU
rnacentral:rRNA from 1 species